rnacentral:rRNA from 1 species
GGAGGUUACUGCUAUCGAGGUUCGACUAAGCCAUGCGAGUCGAAUGUAGCAAUACAUGGCGAACUGCUCAGUAACACGUGGACAACGUGCCCUUAGGACGGGGAUAAACCCGGGAAACUGGGUAUAAUACCCGAUAGGUCUCGAUUGCUGGAAUGCAUCGAGAUUUAAAGCUCCGGCGCCUAAGGAUGGGUCUGCGGCCUAUCAGGUAGUAGUGGGUGUAGCGUACCUACUAGCCUACGACGGGUACGGGUUGUGAGAGCAAGAGCCCGGAGAUGGAUUCUGAGACACGAAUCCAGGCCCUACGGGGUGCAGCAGGCGCGAAAACUCUACAAUGCUGGCAACAGCGAUAAGGGAACCUCGAGUGCCAGGUUACAAAUCUGGCUGUCGAGAUGCCUAAAAAGCAUUUCAUAGCAAGGGCCGGGCAAGACCGGUGCCAGCCGCCGCGGUAACACCGGCGGCUCGAGUGGUAACCGUUAUUAUUGGGUCUAAAGGGUCUGUAGCCGGCCGGAUAAGUCUCUUGAGAAAUCUGGCAGCUUAACUGUCAGGCUUUCAGGAGAUACUGUCUGGCUCGAGGCCGGGGGAGGUGAGAGGUGCUUCAGGGGUAGGGGUGAAAUCUUGUAAUCCUUGAAGGGCCACCAGUGGCGAAGGCGUCUCACCAGAACGGACCUGACGGCAAGGGACGAAAGCUAGGGGCACGAACCGGAUUAGAUACCCGGGUAGUCCUAGCCGUAAACGAUACUCGCUAGGUGUCGGCCACGGUGCGACCGUUGUCGGUGCCGUAGGGAAGCCGUGAAGCGAGCCACCUGGGAAGUACGGCCGCAAGGCUGAAACUUAAAGGAAUUGGCGGGGGAGCACCACAACGGGUGGAGCUUGCGGUUUAAUUGGAUUCAACGCCGGA